UCUAAAACCGAAUGUCCUUGACUGUUCAUCCCUAUUCAUUCAACUGUUUAUGAGGGUGCGAAAUGACGGUAUUGCCCUCAGUUUUCUCUGAAUUACCAUGCUACCAUUUCCCCACAAUAUAUAAGCAAAAUCCCUAAUUCUUUGUGUCUUCGGGAAGACUCUAUCAAGAUCGACAUACUGUUUCGCAGCAUCAAUCUGGAUUUGUUGCAGACGAGGUAGAGAGAGAGAGACAAACUGUGAGAGGAAAGAAGAAGUGAUCGAUCUGGAUUUGUUGCAGAAGAGGUGUAGAGAGAGAGAGAGAGAGAUAGAGAGAGGUAUCUGCGUCUGCAAUAGUUGCAGAAAGUAGAAGGAGGUUUUCUAAGUUUGGGAUUUUAGUGAUUGAUUGGGAGAGGUUGAAGGUAAUAUCGAUCUUACUCGAUCAAGUGUGUCGAUCAAGCUGUUGGAUGCGAAGGUCAGUUGAUAGCAGCUUGAGGAGGGAUCAGAUUGGCUAGAUUCCAUAGUCCUGGAAUGAAGUUUUAGGCUUUGAUUUUGUUUGUUAGUAUUAACGUUUCGUUCAACCUUUAAUAUAGACAAAGGAGAAAUUUGGUCGUCUAGAAGCUUUGUUUUGUUGUCUCUGUGUGUUAUUUAAUGUUAUUUAAUUGAUGGUGUAGGUGCGUUUUGUGAAACAUACAUAUGUUUUGGUUACAAUUAGAAUUUUGUCAUUUGUUUUUGUUGGGUUUUUUAUUUUU
rnacentral:lncRNA from 1 species